GUAAAGUACUUUCAGCGGGGAGGAAGGGAGUAAAGUUAAUACCUUUGCUCAUUGACGUUACCCGCAGAAGAAGCACCGGCUAACUCCGUGCCAGCAGCCGCGGUAAUACGGAGGGUGCAAGCGUUAAUCGGAAUUACUGGGCGUAAAGCGCACGCAGGCGGUUUGUUAAGUCAGAUGUGAAAUCCCCGGGCUCAACCUGGGAACUGCAUCUGAUACUGGCAAGCUUGAGUCUCGUAGAGGGGGGUAGAAUUCCAGGUGUAGCGGUGAAAUGCGUAGAGAUCUGGAGGAAUACCGGUGGCGAAGGCGGCCCCCUGGACGAAGACUGACGCUCAGGUGCGAAAGCGUGGGGAGCAAACAGGAUU
rnacentral:rRNA from 1 species